UCUGCUUGUUUUAAGUUAAGUGGUUAAACUUGGUGGUGGUGGUGGUGGUGGUGCCGUCGUCUUUUGUUGUGUUUUUGGUUUCCUUUAAAGGGAUCAACCCAGUGCUUGUCCUCCUUUACAGCUUCAUUCCACCGCUUCUUAAAGAUUUGAAGCUCCCAUGUCGAUUGUCUUCUAAUCUCCAUUCGAGGAUCCAUGGGUGAAGCACCAUGUCUCUUGGUCAAUUCUUCAUUGUGUGAAGUUUUUUUAACAGGAGGUCCACCCCCACCCAAAGUUUG
rnacentral:misc_RNA from 1 species